rnacentral:snRNA from 1 species
UCGCUCGUGCCUCCCCUCAUGUGUUCGCACUAACCUUUCGCCUUUUACUAAAGAUUACACUGGGGAGGGGCACUUCAAUGAGCCUUAAGGCCAAUUUUUUAAAGGCCCUGCCUGUUUGGGCGG